AAUCAACGCUGGCGGCGUGCCUAACACAUGCAAGUCGAACGAGAAAGUGACGUUCGGUCACUGGACAGUGGCGUCCGGUGAGUAACACGUGGGUAAUCUACCUUCGGUGGGAAGUAACGUCUCGAAAGAGACGCUAAUACCGCAUAAUGCAGCGGCACCUUAUGGUGAAUAGUUGUUAAAGCGGGGGAUCGCAGACCUCGCGCCUGAAGAGGAGCCUGCGGCAGG
rnacentral:rRNA from 1 species